rnacentral:rRNA from 1 species
GAGUUUGAUCGUGGCUCAGGAUGAACGCUAGCGGCAGGCUUAAUACAUGCAAGUCGUGGGGCAGCAUGACUGUAGCAAUACAGUUGAUGGCGACCGGCAAACGGGUGCGGAACACGUACACAACCUUCCUUUAAGUGGGGGAUAGCCCAGGGAAACUUGGAUUAAUACCCCGUAAUAUAUAGAGACGGCAUCGUUUUUAUAUUAUAGCAGCAAUGCGCUUGAAGAUGGGUGUGCGGCUGAUUAGAUAGUUGGCGGGGUAACGGCCCACCAAGUCGACGAUCAGUAACUGGUGUGAGAGCACGACCAGUCACACGGGCACUGAGACACGGGCCCGACUCCUACGGGAGGCAGCAGUAAGGAAUAUUGGUCAAUGGACGCAAGUCUGAACCAGCCAUGCCGCGUGGAGGAUGAAGGUCCUCUGGAUUGUAAACUUCUUUUAUCUGGGAAGAAAAAAGGGAAUUCUUUCCCGUCUGACGGUACCAGAUGAAUAAGCACCGGCUAACUCCGUGCCAGCA